AUUGAACGCUGGCGGCAGGCCUAACACAUGCAAGUCGAGCGGAUGAAGGGAGCUUGCUCCUGGAUUCAGCGGCGGACGGGUGAGUAAUGCCUAGGAAUCUGCCUGGUAGUGGGGGAUAACGUCCGGAAACGGGCGCUAAUACCGCAUACGUCCUGAGGGAGAAAGGGGGGGAGCUUCGGACCUCACGCUAUCAGAUGAGCCUAGGUCGGAUUAGCUAGUUGGUGGGGUAAAGGCCUACCAAGGCGGCAAUCCGUAACUGGUCUGAGAGGAUGAUCAGUCACACUGGAACUGAGACACGGUCCAGAGUCCUACGGGAGGCACCAGUGGGGAAUAUUGGACAAUGGGCGAAAGACUGAUCCAGCCAUGCCGCGUGUGUGAAGAAGGUCUUCGGAUUGUAAAGCACUUUAAGUUGGGAGGAAGGGCAGUAAGUUAAUACCUUGCUUUUUUGACGUUACCAACAGAAUAAGCACCGGCUAACUUCGUG
rnacentral:rRNA from 1 species